rnacentral:misc_RNA from 1 species
AAGUCGUAACAAGGUUUCCGUAGGUGAACCUGCGGAAGGAUCAUUAACCAGUACGUACCUGCUCAAGUGCGAUCCCUGCCCGGGGUGUGUGCCAAUCCGUGCCCCCGAUAAGUCUGUGGGACCAGGCGACAGAACGUGCCCCCCCUUUGUCUACCGUACACGUUGCUCGAGCGGGCUCGCCCCGCGAGAGAUAACCACAACCUUCUUUGAGAUUGUCUGAGGAAACACAAAUACAAACAAAACUUUUAACAACGGAUCUCUUGGUUCCAA